rnacentral:misc_RNA from 1 species
UUAAGUUCAGCGGGUAUCCCCACCUGAUCCGAGGUCAACCUUGAUAGAAAAAAAAGGUGUGUUCUGCGGCGGACGUGGCCCGUCUCGAAAACGCUGGAAAGUUAUCUCGCUGCGCUCGAAGACGGACGGCGACGCCGAGGGGUUUGAGGCGGGCCCGGAGGGCUUCACCCAACACCAAGCAGAGCUUGAUUUGUGUAAUG